AUUUAAGUUUUCUAGGGUUCCGCAAUCUAUAAUUGGUAAUUGGCAGGUCCGAGAGAAAACACACAGUUAUCUGUGUACACGGAAGGAUAAAAGCCUGGGAGAU
rnacentral:sRNA from 1 species